rnacentral:rRNA from 1 species
UACAGAGGUCUCAAGCGUUGUUCGGAUUCAUUGGGCGUAAAGGGUGCGUAGGCGGCGCGGUAAGUCGGGUGUGAAAUCUCGGGGCUUAACUCCGAAACUGCAUUCGAUACUGCGGUGCUUGAGGACUGGAGAGGAGACUGGAAUUAUGGUGUAGCAGUGAAAUGCGUAGAGAUCAUGAGGAAGACCAGUGGCGAAGGCGGGUCUCUGGACAGUUC